UACAUCUUUAAAUAAUGUAGGAUUAAUUCAGACAUCAUUUAUUACCAAUCAAUUUCCUACCCCUUUGCUGGGAGAUGUAGACCAUCCCUACCUAUCAUCCUUUGACCCCUCUCAUCUUCUCAACACUCUCCACAUUUCUCUACCGAUAAACACUUAAGUGGUUCCUAUUGAACGUUGUUAUAUAUAUCUUAAAUGCGCCUAAAAUGUAAGUCAUAUGCAUAUAGUUUACAAAUAACGUGCCUUGUUUCAAAAGAAAAAAACAUGCAAGUAGUACAAGUUUUCUGUAGCCGCUUAUAUUAACCUAACAUACAAAGUAUUUUCGGAGUCUAUGUAUUACACUAUAGUUACAUAAUUUGUAAACCACUUCGCUAAAUCAAAUAGAAAACUGAUUAAAUAAAUACAAAAUAUGUUUGAUUUUAAUAUAAGUAUAUAAAUAAACCAUAUAUAUUAGUGACUAAAUUUAAAAGUAAUAAUAAAUUUAAUUCAAAAUUUCACAACUUUUUUUUGACAACGAACGGUUAUUCUAUUAUUCAAACUUGAGGUGGUCUGGAUAACUAGACCGGAACAGAACAACCAAUAAAACAUAGUAAUCUAUGGAAAUAUCUCAUAAUCCUAGCUAAAGAAUCUAAAAUUUAGUUUUGCACUCUUAGAAUACGAAUGAUUUUGAAGUCCGGAAAGCAUAUCUACAGAGUUUCUAUCCUCUCCAAUUUUGUUGCAAAACUUA
rnacentral:lncRNA from 1 species